CCUACGGGAGGCAGCAGUAAGGAAUAUUGGUCAAUGGACGAAAGUCUGAACCAGCCAUGCCGCGUGAAGGAUGAAGGUCCUCUGGAUUGUAAACUUCUUUUAUCUGGGACGAAAAAAGGGCUUUCUAGCUCACUUGACGGUACCAGAGGAAUAAGCACCGGCUAACUCCGUGCCAGCAGCCGCGGUAAUACGGAGGGUGCAAGCGUUAUCCGGAUUUACUGGGUUUAAAGGGAGCGUAGGUGGGCAGGUAAGUCAGUGGUGAAAUCUCUGGGCUUAACCCGGAAACUGCCAUUGAUACUAUCUGUCUUGAAUAUCCUGGAGGUAAGCGGAAUAUGUCAUGUAGCGGUGAAAUGCUUAGAUAUGACAUAGAACACCCAUUGCGAAGGCAGCUUACUACGGGAUUAUUGACACUGAGGCUCGAAAGCGUGGGGAUCAAACAGGAUUAGAUACCCUGGUAGUCCACGCCCUAAACGAUGGAUACUCGACAUCAGCGAUACACUGUUGGUGUCUGAGCGAAAGCAUUAAGUAUCCCACCUGGGAAGUACGACCGCAAGGUUGAAACGUCAAAUGAAUUGACGGCUGAGACGAGACGAGACGACGACGAGGGAGGAGG
rnacentral:rRNA from 1 species